rnacentral:rRNA from 1 species
GCGACCCCAGGUCAGGUGGGACCACCCGCUGAGUUUAA